GUCUGGGAAACUGCCCGAUGGAGGGGGAUAACUACUGGAAACGGUAGCUAAUACCGCAUAACGUCGCAAGACCAAAGUGGGGGACCUUCGGGCCUCACACCAUCGGAUGUGCCCAGAUGGGAUUAGCUAGUAGGUGGGGUAAUGGCUCACCUAGGCGACGAUCCCUAGCUGGUCUGAGAGGAUGACCAGCCACACUGGAACUGAGACACGGUCCAGACUCCUACGGGAGGCAGCAGUGGGGAAUAUUGCACAAUGGGCGCAAGCCUGAUGCAGCCAUGCCGCGUGUAUGAAGAAGGCCUUCGGGUUGUAAAGUACUUUCAGCGGGGAGGAAGGCGGUGAAGUUAAUAGCUUCACCGAUUGACGUUACCCGCAGAAGAAGCACCGGCUAACUCCGUGCCAGCAGCCGCGGUAAUACGGAGGGUGCAAGCGUUAAUCGGAAUUACUGGGCGUAAAGCGCACGCAGGCGGUCUGUCAAGUCGGAUGUGAAAUCCCCGGGCUUAACCUGGGAACUGCAUUCGAAACUGGCAGGCUAGAGUCUUGUAGAGGGGGGUAG
rnacentral:rRNA from 1 species